GGGCCCGCACAAGCGGAGGAACAUGUGGUUUAAUUCGAUGAUACGCGAGGAACCUUACCUGGGCUUAAAUGUAGAGUGCAUGGGGGGGAAACUCUCCUUUCCUUAGGGACUCUUUACAAGGUGCUGCAUGGUUGUCGUCAGCUCGUGCCGUGAGGUGUCGGGUUAAGUCCCAUAACGAGCGCAACCCUUACCGUUAGUUGCCAGCGGGUAAUGCCGGGAACUCUAGCGGAACUGCCACCGUAAGGUGAGAGGAAGGUGGGGAUGACGUCAAAUCAGCACGGCCCUUAUGUCCAGGGCCACACACGUGUUACAAUGGCCGGUACAGAGGGCAGCUACCACGCAAGUGGAUGCGAAUCUCGAAAGCCGGUCUCAGUUCGGAUCGGAGUCUGCAACUCGACUCCGUGAAGCUGGAUUCGCUAGUAAUCGCGCAUCAGCCAUGGCGCGGUGAAUACGUUCCCGGGCCUU
rnacentral:rRNA from 1 species